rnacentral:lncRNA from 1 species
UGCAAGCAGCUCUCUUCUGAUGCUGGAGGUCCAAGGAUGGGCUCCUUCCAUGCCUGAGGGCCUCAAAUCAUGGCUAAAGUGUCAUCACAUGAUGUCAUAAUAUGAGUGUCUGCCAAAAGCCACCCGCAUUGACCCAUGUCUCUGCUGCCAGUAGCUGAAUGACAUGAUAAUAUCAGCUUGGAAGUUGGCUGUCCCAAACUUGGAGCUUUGUGACUCCUCCUGAGAGCAAAAUUAUCCUGCAUUUCUCCUCACCUCCAGAGUCUCUCACUCAGGAAGCUGGGUGAUAUGUGUUAGAAUAAAUAAGAAGGUUUGGAAAGGAGUGUUUCAACAAGACCAAAGACAAAAUUCUACCUGACAUACAAUAGCAAUACACCGAAGAUAAAGAUGGGUGAAAAUCAUCUGUCUUUGUAUUUAUCUAUCAGAAGAAAGAGCCAGGCUUUCAAAGACAACUCAGACAUAUCAGUAUCAGGCUGUGGAGAUGCAGUCACUCAUCCUGUUGCAAAAGAGAGAUUCCUUGCACCUUGCUUUUUCUCUCAGAGGAGAAGUUGUGUCCAACAAGCAUUAGAAGAGGACUGAAGCCAUUAUGAAUUUGAUUGGGAAGGGAAUACAGAGAAUUUUUCUAAAUAUUCCUUUUCUUCUGCAGUCCAGUAAGAC